ACAGCCAUAUGACAUUGAAACAUCAGUUCUUGUAUGAUCACCAAAGUUAAGCAACACCGAGCCCAGUCAGUACUUAGAUGGGUGACUGCUUGGGAAUACUGGGUACUGUAA